CCCUUAGAUGUUCGGGGCCGCACGCGCGCUACACUGAUGGGGACAGCGUGUUUGCCAUUCCUGGUCCGGCAGGAUUGGGCAAUCCGUUGAACCCCCGUCGUGAUUGGGAUCGGAGCUUGUAACUAUUCUCCGUAAACGAGGAAUUCCCAGUAAGCGCAAGUCAUCAGCUUGCGUUGAUUACGUCCCUGCCCUUUGUACACACCGCCCGUCGCUCCUACCGAUUGAAUGAUCCGAUGAAUAUCAUGGAUUGAGGAUGUAAGCAGGUUCGCCUGUCUUCAUCUUCGAGAAGUGAAGUAAAUCUUAUCAUUUAGAGGAAGGAGAAGUCGUAACA
rnacentral:rRNA from 1 species